rfam:Bartonella apis strain PEB0149 NODE_1_len_1448678_cov_97_6187_ID_1.8, whole genome shotgun sequence.
CAAGACAGCUCUGGAAAGUCGGGUUUGUCCCGCGCCGAAGGUGUAAGUGGAGGGGGAGAGCUUUCCACAAGUCUCUCAGGCUCAAGACAGAGGGGUGUGA